rnacentral:rRNA from 1 species
AUUAAAUUUAUACUUUAUUACCACUAAAUCUAAAAUUUACAAUUAACGUGAAAAUGCGUUAGAAUAAAAAAAAGACCAAAAGACCCUGGGAGCUUUAAUUUUAUAGCUCUCCCUCUCUAAAAAUUUUUGUUGGGGGGACAUAGAAAAUACCUUCUUUAUUACAAUACCCAUACCUUUAAAAAUUUCGACAUAGCUACCCCAGGGAUAACAGGCUACUCUUUUUUAAAAGUUCACAUUUACAAAAAGAUAUAGCACCUCGAUGUUGGCUUAAGAGUACGUAAAAUGCAACAGUUUUACUUAAUGGCUUGUUCCGCCAGUAGUUUCUUACGUGAUCUGAGUUCAAACCG